ACUGAAAAUAGAAAUGCACAGGUUCUUGUGGGUCCUGAAGAGAAGCCCCAGGAUUUAGAGUUAAAGCAUUUCUCUGCAUUUGUGAACUAACUGUUCCUACUUCUGUGAAGCCUUCUAGUCUUCUGCAUGCAGUUCCACAACUUGACCAUUUCCCGAAGGUGCUGUCUCUUCUCUACUGCUCUCCAUUCUGAGAACAAAAUUCAGGACAAGAAGACCUUGGCAAAAAUAUUGCAACACUUCAACAGAAGAAAUACCAAGGAAGAACUAUUUCCAUGGACAGAAAUGAUUUAUAACUCCAAGUCAUUCUGGACACAAGUCAUGAUCAGCGAUUCUGGGAGUUUGCUCUGUUCUCUAGCCAUACAAUACAGGAUACUCUGACAAGAGAGUGAUUCCAAAGUGCACUAGCAGACUAUUUCAUUGUCUCAGAAUAACAAGUUCCCUGUCCUACAAAGCGGCCAGGAUAAGUGCAUUAUCUUGGCCAUCUUACAUUUGAAUUCAAGAGUAUUUAAAGGUAGCAAAUGCAAAGUUACCUAUAAUUCUUUAUUCUGUCAGAAGACCGUGCUUUAAUAUCUAAAGUGUAGAUAAUUCAUA
rnacentral:sRNA from 1 species